CCUUGAAAUACCACCCUUUAAUGUUUGAUGUUCUAACGUUGACCCGUGAUCCGGGUUGCGGACAGUGUCUGGUGGGUAGUUUGACUGGGGCGGUCUCCUCCUAAAGAGUAACGGAGGAGCACGAAGGUUGGCUAAUCCUGGUCGGACAUCAGGAGGUUAGUGCAAUGGCAUAAGCCAGCUUGACUGCGAGCGUGACGGCGCGAGCAGGUGCGAAAGCAGGUCAUAGUGAUCCGGUGGUUCUGAAUGGAAGGGCCAUCGCUCAACGGAUAAAAGGUACUCCGGGGAUAACAGGCUGAUACCGCCCAAGAGUUCAUAUCGACGGCGGUGUUUGGCACCUCGAUGUCGGCUCAUCACAUCCUGGGGCUGAAGUAGGUCCCAAGGGUAUGGCUGUUCGCCAUUUAAAGUGGUACGCGAGCUGGGUUUAGAACGUCGUGAGACAGUUCGGUCCCUAUCUGCCGUGGGCGCUGGAGAACUGAGGGGGGCUGCUCCUAGUACGAGAGGACCGGAGUGGACGCAUCACUGGUGUUCGGGUUGUCAUGCCAAUGGCACUGCCCGGUAGCUAAAUGCGGAAGAGAUAAGUGCUG
rnacentral:rRNA from 1 species